rnacentral:lncRNA from 1 species
UCAAAAGCUUCCACAUCACAACCUGCAAGUGAGCGAAAAUACCUAUCAGUACCUGCAAAAGAGAUCGUUAGAUAAAACCAUGCCCCAGGCGUGUCAAGAUUUCAACACUUGGGUCACUCAACCUUCCGAAUAAGAUUUCAAGCUUCAAUCUUAUAAACAUGCAUUGGAAGGGACCUGUAUGUCUUAAAAUGCAAAGAUUCUUUAUCACAAACAAUUGGAUGUUUUUGCAAUCAAAGCGGUAAUGAAAA